rnacentral:rRNA from 1 species
GAUGAACGCUGGCGGCGUGCCUAAUACAUGCAAGUCGAGCGAAUGGAUUAAGAGCUUGCUCUUAUGAAGUUAGCGGCGGACGGGUGAGUAACACGUGGGUAACCUGCCCAUAAGACUGGGAUAACUCCGGGAAACCGGGGCUAAUACCGGAUAACAUUUUGAACCGCAUGGGUCGAAAUUGAAAGGCGGCUUCGGCUGUCACUUAUGGAUGGACCCGCGUCGCAUUAGCUAGUUGGUGAGGUAACGGCCCACCAAGGCAACGAUGCGUAGCCGACCUGAGAGGGUGAUCGGCCACACUGGGACUGAGACACGGCCCAGACUCCUACGGGAGGCAGCAGUAGGGAAUCUUCCGCAAUGGACGAAAGUCUGACGGGGCAACGCCGCGUGAGUGAUGAAGGCUUUCGGGUCGUAAAACUCUGUUGUUAGGGAAGAACAAGUGCUAGUUGAAUAAGCUGGCACCUUGACGGUACCUAACCAGAAAGCCACGGCUAACUACGUGCCAGCCGCCGCGGUAA